AAUAAGGUCAUUUUUUAGUUUUUAGAUAUAAUGUUUUGACUCUUCGUCUUAUUUGAACUUUUUUGCGAUUGAUAUUUUUAUUCUUACUAGAUGAUUGAAUAUAAAUAGUACUUUAUGUGUGACUAAUUUUUUAAGUUUUUUUACAAAUUUUUCAAAUAAGACAAAUGAUCAAAACAUUGGGCACAGAAAUCGAAAAACGAUUUUAUU
rnacentral:pre_miRNA from 1 species